rnacentral:lncRNA from 10 species
CCUUGAAUCACAGAUGUUCUCAAUGGCAUCCAGAAUUAUGAAUCCGUUCCAGAAGGUUUUUAAUUACCUUGCCCAGAUUCAUCACAGAAAUCACUAUGUAUGGCAGCUACAGCCUCAUGAAAUGUAUUUCUUAAAUAAUAAGACUUGAAAGUCCAAAGUACUCCUUGAUCCACGGGCUCUAAGAACUGCGGAAUGAAUGCUGUACUAGCAUGCAUGAAGACAACAUUCAUCUCCUUGUAGAUCUCCAUCAGAGCUCUUGGGUGACCAGAUGCAUUGUCAAUAAGCAGUAAUAUUUUGAAAGGAAUCUUUUUCUCUGAGCAGUAGGUGUCAAGAGUGGGCUUAAAAUAUUCAGUAAACCAUGCUAUAAACAGAUGUGCUAUCAUUCAUUUAUAGAGUAUAAACAGAGUAGAUUUAUUGUAAUUCUUAAGGGCCCUAGGAUUUUUAAAAUGGUAAAUGAGGAUUGGUUUUAAAAUCACCAGCUGCAUUAGCCCCUAACAAGACUCAGACUGUCUUUUGAAGCUUUGAGGCCAGGCAUUGACAUCUCUCUAGCUAUGAAUGUCCUAAAUGGCAUCUCCUUCCAAUACAAGGCUGUUUCAUUAAUAUUAAAAAUCUGUUGUUUUGUGUAGGCAACUUCAUCAAUGAUCUUAGCUAGAUCCUCUGUAUAACUCAGUAUAGUUUCUACAUCAGCACUUGCUGCUUUCACCUUGCACCUUUAUUGUUAUGGAGACUUCUUUCCUUAAAUCUAAUGAACCAACCUCUGCUAGCUUCAAACUUUUCUUCUGUAGAUUCCUCACCUCUCUCAGCCUUCAUAGAAUUGAAGAAUUAGAGGCUUGCUCUGGAUUAGGCUUUGGCUUAAGGGAAUGUUGUGGCUGGUUUGAUCUUCUAUCCAGACUACUAAAACUUUCCCCAUAUCAGCAAUAGGGCUGUUUCACUUUCUUAUCAUUUGUGUGUUCCCUGGAAUAGCACUUUUAACUUCCUCCAAGAACUUUUCUUUUGCAUUCACAACUUGGCUGUUUGGUACAAGAGGCCUAGCUUUUGGCCUGUCUCAGCUUUCGACAUGCCUUCCUCACUAAGCUUAAUAAUUUCAGCUUUGGAUUUAAAGUGAGAAAGGUACAACUCUUCCUUUUACUUAAACACUUAAGAGGCCAUUAGAGGGUUAUUAAUUGGUCUAAUUUCAAUACUGUUAUGUCUUAGACAAUAGGGAAGCCCAAAAAGAGGGAGAGAGAUGGAGAAUGGCUGGUUGGGGAAGCAGCCAGAACACACACCACAUUUAUCAAUUAAGUUCACUGUCUUACAUGGGCACGGUUCAUGAUGUCCCUAAACAAUUUGCAAUAGUAAUAUCAAAGAUCAUUGAUCACAGAUCACCAUAACGGAUAAAAAAAUGAAAAGGUUUGAAAUAUUGUGAGAUUGCCAAAAUGUGACAGAAACAAAGUGAGCAUAUCCUGUCGGAAAAAAUGAUGCUGAAAGACUUGCUCAAUGCAAGGUUGCCACAAACCUUCAAUUUGUAAAAAAUGCAGUUAUCUGUGAAGCACAAUAAACUGAAGUGCAAUAAAAUAAGGUAUGCCUGUACUGAGCCAUUGUUUAGAGUUGUACACGCAUUAUUUUUCAUUUAAUCCUUAGAAU